UCUGGUUCAUACUCUAAUCGCUAAUAUCAAGCCAGCAACUCUCACAUGGUUGCCCACUGAAGCUAAGCAGGGCUGCGCCCGGUCAGUACCUGGAUGGGAGACCACAUGGGAAAGCUAGGUUGCUGCCAGAA
rnacentral:rRNA from 1 species